rnacentral:rRNA from 1 species
GUGAGGAAUAUUGGACAAUGGGCGCAAGCCUGAUCCAGCCAUGCCGCGUGCAGGAAGACGCAUCUAUGGUGUGUAAACUGCUUUUGUACGGGAAGAAACACUCCCUCGUGAGGGAGCUUGACGGUACCGUAAGAAUAAGGAUCGGCUAACUCCGUGCCAGCAGCCGCGGUAAUACGGAGGAUCCAAGCGUUAUCCGGAAUCAUUGGGUUUAAAGGGUCCGUAGUCGGUUUAAUAAGUCAGUGGUGAAAGCCAAUCGCUCAACGAUGGAACGGCCAUUGAUACUGUUAGACUUGAAUUACAAGGAAGUAACUAGAAUAUGUAGUGUAGCGGUGAAAUGCUUAGAUAUUACAUGGAAUACCAAUUGCGAAGGCAGGUUACUACUUGUGGAUUGACGCUGAUGGACGAAAGCGUGGGGAGCGAACAGGAUUAGAAACCCCGGUAGUCC